rnacentral:tRNA from 1 species
GCAGCGGUGGUUCAGUUGGUAGAAUUCUUGUCUUCCAUGGCAGGAGAUCUGGGUUCAAUUCUCGGCCAGCGCA